rnacentral:sRNA from 1 species
AAAUGCUCCAUUUUUUAUUGUCAGCCGUGUUACGUAUCUUGAAAAAAAUAUUAAAAAGAGUAAAAUAGAUAGAGUUAACGAAAAAUUAAUGAAAUCGACGAUAUAGAUAUGAUAAAGAAAGGUGGGUAGCAAUAUGAAAAAUACAUUCCUUAUUUGUGAUGAAUGUCAGGCAGUCAAUAUAAGAACGUUACAAAAGAAGUUGGAAAAAUUAGAUCCCGAUGCUGAAAUCGUGAUAGGUUGUCAAUCUUAUUGUGGACCUGGACGCCGAAAAACAUUCACUUUUGUUAAUAACCGCCCACUGGCUGCGCUUACUGAAGAAGAAUUAAUCGAAAAAGUUUCUCAACAAUUAAAGAAACCACGUGAUCCUGAAGAAGAAG